AGCCGAGCGGUAGAGAUCUUUCGGGAUCUUGAGAGCGGCGUACGGGUGCGGAACACGUGUGCAACCUGCCUUUAUCAGGGGGAUAGCCUUUCGAAAGGAAGAUUAAUACCCCAUAAUAUAUUGAAUGGCAUCAUUUGAUAUUGAAAACUCCGGUGGAUAGAGAUGGGCACGCGCAAGAUUAGAUAGUUGGUAGGGUAACGGCCUACCAAGUCAGUGAUCUUUAGGGGGCCUGAGAGGGUGAUCCCCCACACUGGUACUGAGACACGGACCAGACUCCUACGGGAGGCAGCAGUGAGGAAUAUUGGACAAUGGGUGAGAGCCUGAUCCAGCCAUCCCGCGUGAAGGACGACGGCCCUAUGGGUUGUAAACUUCUUUUGUAUAGGGAUAAACCUUUCCACGUGUGGAAAGCUGAAGGUACUAUACGAAUAAGCACCGGCUAACUCCGUGCCAGCAGCCGCGGUAAUACGGAGGGUGCAAGCGUUAUCCGGAUUUAUUGGGUUUAAAGGGUCCGUAGGCGGAUCUGUAAGUCAGUGGUGAAAUCUCAUAGCUUAACUAUGAAACUGCCAUUGAUACUGCAGGUCUUGAGUAAAGUAGAAGUGGCUGGAAUAAGUAGUGUAGCGGUGAAAUGCAUAGAUAUUACUUAGAACACCAAUUGCGAAGGCAGGUCACUAUGUUUUAACUGACGCUGAUGG
rnacentral:rRNA from 1 species